rnacentral:rRNA from 1 species
AUUACGUCCCUGCCCUUUGUACACACCGCCCGUCGCUACUACCGAUUGAAUGGCUUAGUGAGACUUUCGGAUGUGUUUGGAGCCGCUGGCAACAGUGACACCUUGCGCAGAAGUUAUUCAAACUUGGUCAUUUGGAGGAAGUAAAAGUCGUAACAAGGUUUCCGUAGGUGAACCUGCGGAAGGAUCAUUA